GCACUGGUAGUUCAGUGGUAGAAUUCUCGCCUUCCGUGCAGGAGACCCCGGUUUGACUCCCAGCCGGUGCA
rnacentral:tRNA from 1 species